rnacentral:rRNA from 1 species
UGAGGAAUAUUGGGCAAUGGGCGCAAGCCUGACCCAGCAACGCCGCGUGGAGGAAGACGGCCUUCGGGUUGUAAACUCCUUUUACGGGGGAAGAGGAAGGACGGUACCCCGAGAAUAAGUCACGGCUAACUACGUGCCAGCAGCCGCGGUAAUACGUAGGUGACAAGCGUUAUCCGGAAUUACUGGGCGUAAAGCGCACGCAGGCGGCGCAUUACGUCUGACGUGAAAUCUCCUGGCUUAACUGGGAGGGGUCGUUGGAAACUGAUGUGCUUGAGGCGGUGAGAGGGGUGUAGAAUUCCCGGUGUAGUGGUGGAAUGCGUAGAUAUCGGGAGGAAUACCAGUGGCGAAAGCGACACCCUGGCACUGUGCCUGACGCUCAUGUGCGAAGGCGUGGGGAGCGAACG